rnacentral:lncRNA from 1 species
AUCCCGUUUGGAGCAGAAGUCAGAGCCUUCAGUGUCUGCAUUGUUUCUCUGUUCCAAAGCCCUGAUCCAGAGCACGCGUGGAAACUUUCCAGGCCAUUGUGAAGUAUUCAUUAGUGCUGGUGCAGCUCAGAAGAGAAUUCUGCAUGGGCAAGCCGAGACAAAAGGAGAGAGAAGAGAAACAUGGAGAGAAUGUCCUGUCUUGGAUGGCAUUGUUUCACAGCUGGAAUGGGAGAAAAGCAACCCCUGCCACCCCCUGCCACGUACAGAUCCUAGGCUGGAUCUGUCACCUUACUGGGGUAUGGCUGAGGAUAUUGGAGGUUAAGGAAUUCCAUUGUCUCAAUAAACAUGUGCACUGAAGCAGAGCUGCACAUUCUCAUUCACCAUGGGCUCAGGUUUCGGACCGUCUGCCCGAAGGGGAAAUUUAUCCUGGCAACCGCUGAAAGGGGAACGCGUGUGGAUUGGCACCGGUUUGUGCAUUAAAAAAAUUAAUUUUUUUUUUUUA